rnacentral:rRNA from 1 species
AGUGAACGCUGGCGGUAGGCCUAACACAUGCAAGUCGAACGGCAGCACAGGAGAGCUUGCUCUCUGGGUGGCGAGUGGCGGACGGGUGAGGAAUACAUCGGAAUCUACUCUGUCGUGGGGGAUAACGUAGGGAAACUUACGCUAAUACCGCAUACGACCUACGGGUGAAAGCAGGGGAUCUUCGGACCUUGCGCGAUUGAAUGAGCCGAUGUCGGAUUAGCUAGGUGGCGGGAUAAAGGCCCAGCAAGGCGACGAUCCGUAGCUGGUCUGAGAGGAUGAUCCGACCCACUGGAACUGAGACACGGUCCAGACUCCUACGGGAGGCAGCAGUGGGGAAUAUUGGACAAUGGGCGCAAGCCUGAUCCAGCCAUACCGCGUGGGUGAAGAAGGCCUUCGGGUUGUAAAGCCCUUUUGUUGGGAAAGAAAUCCAGCUGGCUAAUACCCGGUUGGGAUGACGGUACCCAAAGAAUAAGCACCGGCUAACUUCGUGCCAGCAGCCGCCGUAA